rnacentral:rRNA from 1 species
AACUUCGUGCCAGCAGCCGCGGUAAUACGAAGGGCCCGAGCGUUAUUCGGAAUCACUGGGCUUAAAGCGUGCGUAGGCGGACUUGUAGGCGUUUUGUGAAAUCCCUCGGCUCAACCGAGGAACUGCAGAGCGAACCCCAAGUCUUGAGACAGAUAGAGGUUGUCGGAACGAUUGGUGGAGUGGUGAAAUGCGUUGAUAUCAAUCGGAACGCCAAAUGAGAAGUCAGGCAACUGGAUCUGUUCUGACGCUGAGGCACGAAAGCGUGGGUAGCGAACGGGAUUAGAUACCCCGGUAGUCCACGCCGUAAACAAUGUGCACUAGGUCGAGGGCGUUCUGACGCGACUCUCGGCCGAAGCGAAAGUGUUAAGUGCACCGCCUGGGGAGUACGGUCGCAAGGCUAAAACUCAAAGGAAUUGACGGGGGCUCACACAAGCGGUGGAGCAUGUGGCUUAAUUCGAAGCAACGCGAAGAACCUUAUCCUAGGUUUGACAUACACGGAUUAGCUAUAAGAAACUAUAGUGACACCUUCGGGUGGAACGUGAACAGGUGCUGCAUGGCUGUCGUCAGCUCGUGCUGUGAAGUGUCGGGUUAAGUCCCUUAACGAGCGCAACCCUUAUCGUUAGUUGCUAACAGGUAAUGCUGAGGACUCUAGCGAGACUGCCGGUGUUAAACCGGAGGAGGGUGGGGAUGACGUCAAGUCCGCAUGGCCUUUAUGCCUAGGGCCGCACACGUGCUACAAUGGCAAGUACAAAACGAAGCAAUACCGCAAGGUGGAGCAAAUCGCAAAAACUUGCCCCAGUUCGGAUUGCAGGCUGCAACUCGCCUGCAUGAAGUUGGAAUCGCUAGUAAUCGUGGAUCAGCAUGCCGCGGUGAAUACGUUCCCGGGCCUUGUACACACCGCCCGUCACACCAUGGGAGUUGGUUUUACCCGAAGACGGUGCGCUAACCUUUAGGGGAGGCAGCCGGCCACGGUAAGGUCAGCGACUGGGGUGAAGUCGUAACAAGGUAACC